rnacentral:misc_RNA from 1 species
AUUUAUAGUAAUUUGCAAUGUAAAAGCAUUUUUCUUUCAUUAUCUUUUAAACAAAGAAGAUUAUAAUUCAAGCAUCCCUAUCCAAUUAUCCAUUGCACAUUGAAUUACUAAGUUUGCCAUAACCAAAAUGAUCCUUCCCCAGUAAAACAACAAAACCCCAAUACACUUUAUAAAUAAAAUAAAACUAAAACAUGCCACCCUUUGCCUUUGGUAUAUGUUUGCCUUCACUUUCCUUGAGUCCUCUUGGCCUUUCUCUUCUCGUUCACGAAGAAACCAAACAACGCCAAAACAGAGAAAGCACUAAAGCAAACUGAGGCAAUAUCGAGUGACACGUGGCGGCCGUUAAUUGCCUGGAUGUCAAAGAGGUUUGUGGUUUUAUGAGCAUCUGUGCUUUGACCGUAAGCCACCUCGGCUCCGUCGGAGUUGUAAGCAUAGGCGCGUACAAAGUACGUGGCAGUGGGCACGUCACGCUCGACAGUCCACGUAAAUGAUUGAUUGUUGUUGGUAGAAGUGUAAGGCCUAGAAACGAUGGCGAAUUGGCAAGUCUUGUCUUUGGAUAGGUUGUCAUCGGUUUUUCUCCAAGCGCGGUCCGUUUGGCUUACUGGCGCGUAACACAACUUCACCUUGAUGGUUUUGUAGGCUGCGUCAGUCCCAGCUGGGAGCGUCUGGUUUACUCCCCAGCUAACAGUAAUAUUGUCCAUACCUGCUUUAAGAACUGCAAUUUUUAAUUAUUAAUAAUUAAUUUUAUUUUGCAUUUAUUGAAAGAAAAAGGCGGAAAUUAACUUAACAAAAGGAUGCAGAUCUAGUGGAUUAAAAAGAUCGAUAAAGAUAUGGUCAAGUUUAUGUAAAAUAGAGAAUUCAGAAAAAGAAAAUCAAGAACAAGAUUGUGUAUGUGAGAGAGAGACGUUACCUUGUCCUGGUCUUGGUGAAGCAGUGACUAGAAGAGUUUUUUGCAGAGAAGAAAAGAGUAUAAAUCCAUAAGAGGAACCACAUAAACAAGAGAAAAGAAUUGAAGCCAAGAGAAGAGCAUAUGCAGCCAUUGCUACUUCCACUUUAGAGGCAAGAACAAGAUUACCACAAAGCUAGGAAAAGUUAGAAGGAGGGACAAUGAUGAUGGGAAAGGUGGGGCUUGGGUUGCGUUUUAUACAAAGUGCAAAAAAGCCAAGAGAAUGAGUCAACGGGCCAAUUUGCUUAGUGGGAGAUUUUUGAAGACAGUAUAUAGAAUAAAAAAAAUAUAUGAGAUUUUUAAUACAAGAUGGAAAUGGCCCUUAAGCAUCUGGAAAAGAUAGGGUUAAAUGAGAAUUGAAAUUCACGAUCAGAAACAGAGAGAGAGGUUGAUGGAUGAGAUUUGAUUGAUUGACUUAAUAUAUCUGCUGAUCAUUCUUAUUGAUUAUUUUAGUCCAAGUGAUUUUGUCCCCUAAUACAUCUAAAAG